rnacentral:misc_RNA from 1 species
UUUAGAUGAUGUUUGGAACAAGAAUUAUGAUGAUUUGAAUGCCCUUUGUUCUCCAUUGAUGUAUGGAGCACCAGGAAGCAAAGUGAUCUUGACAACACGUGAUGAAGCUGUUGCACGAACAAUGGGGAACACUGAAUUUCAAAAUUUAAGCUGCUUUUCUGAUGAACAUUGUUGGUCAAUUUUUGUUGACCAUGCUUUUGGCAGGAGGAGAAUUGCAGAUCCAAAUUUAGAAGUCAUUCAUGAAAAGGUUAUAAACAAGUAUAGUGGCUUGCCGUUGGCGGCAAGGACUUUGGUUGGCCUUCUACGCUCGAAACCAAGGGAGGAAUGGGAAAAUGUAUUGAAUAGCAAAAUCUGGAAUUUACAAGGUGGAGGCAACAGCAUUCUUCCCGUAUUAAGAUUAAGUUACUAUCAUUUGCCUUCGCAUUUAAAGAGGUGUUUUGCUUAUUGGGCAAUAUUUCCCAAGGAUUAUGUA